AGAGACAGCAGUCGCCGCGGGAACACGGAGGGAGCUAGCGUUGUUCGGAAUUACUGGGCGUAAAGCGCGCGUAGGCGGUUACUCAAGUCAGAGGUGAAAGCCCGGGGCUCAACCCCGGAACUGCCUUUGAAACUAGGUGACUAGAAUCUUGGAGAGGUCAGUGGAAUUCCGAGUGUAGAGGUGAAAUUCGUAGAUAUUCGGAAGAACACCAGUGGCGAAGGCGACUGACUGGACAAGUAUUGACGCUGAGGUGCGAAAGCGUGGGGAGCAAACAGGAUUAGAUACCCGUGUAGUCCCUGUCUCUUAUAC
rnacentral:rRNA from 1 species